rnacentral:rRNA from 1 species
CCUACGGGUGGCAGCAGUGAGGAAUAUUGGUCAAUGGACGAGAGUCUGAACCAGCCAAGUAGCGUGAAGGAUGACUGCCCUAUGGGUUGUAAACUUCUUUUAUAUGGGAAUAAAAUGUUCCACGUGUGGGAUUUUGUAUGUACCAUAUGAAUAAGGAUCGGCUAACUCCGUGCCAGCAGCCGCGGUAAUACGGAGGAUCCGAGCGUUAUCCGGAUUUAUUGGGUAUAAAGGGAGCGUAGGUGGAUUGUUAAGUCAGUUGUGAAAGUUUGCGGCUCAACCGUAAAAUUGCAGUUGAAACUGGCAGUCUUGAGUACAGUAGAGGUGGGCGGAAUUCGUGGUGUAGCGGUGAAAUGCUUAGAUAUCACGAAGAACUCCGAUUGCGAAGGCAGUUCACUGGACUGCAACUGACACUGAGGCUCGAAAGUGUGGGUAUCAAACAGGAUUAGAUACCCUUGUAGUC